rnacentral:rRNA from 1 species
UACAGAGGUCUCAAGCGUUGUUCGGAUUCAUUGGGCGUAAAGGGUGCGUAGGCGGCGCGGUAAGUCGGGUGUGAAAUCUCGGAGCUUAACUCCGAAACUGCAUUCGAUACUGCCGUGCUUGAGGACUGGAGAGGAGACUGGAAUUUACGGUGUAGCGGUGAAAUGCGUAGAUAUCGUAAGGAAGACCAGUGGGCGAAGGCG